CGGGGUUUGGUUGAGUUCCACAUUCAACAGUUGACAAAUAACCUGACAAAAUAUUCUCCAGUUAUUCCUCAUUCCCAAAAGCUGAAAAUGCUUCAGAGACCAGGGGUGAAAUUGUGAAUUGUGGGGAGAAGAGCUGGAGGAUAGUGUUAAAUAGAGAGUUCUUUAAACAAGGUCUUUCCUUUCCCCCUCGGUUAGUUCAGCUGGGUGAACAUGAAGGCCUUUCUGAUAAACAGUGCAUCCCUCAGACAGAUUUUCUCACCGACUCUCAGGGUCAUUUCUGCAGGACUGCAGAACUGUGGCAGCGAGUCUCAGCUGGCAUUCUGCAGAGGGGAACAACACAGUGUGCUCUUGCUGUGAAACUGGAGACUGCACUGCAGGAAAGACUGACAUGCCCAGCAAAUAUCUGCAAGAGCUGACAACAGUGGAUGCAUUACCUUUAAAACCACUGUGGACUGGGAAACUUGUCACUUGACUCAUCAACUGUCUGGAAUACCUUGCCCUUCAUCUGAGCAGUGAGUAAGCGGACUUAUCAGAACAAAUUCAUUAGUGUGCACACGCUCUGCAUCAGAAAGUACCUCGCAUCAGAAGAAGUUAUGGAUCCGUGGUGGAAAAAAAAGCUUAAAGCUUUCUUCUUCCAAGGUCACAGACAAAACAGGUUUGGGAACAUUCUGUUGGUGUUAAAACAUGAGAACAGAAGCAUUCAAAUAUUGGGAACUUGUACACAAGUCACCACUAGCAGGCUAAUGCUAGACCCUGAUACCUUGCUAAGCCCAAUAUUAUCCCCUAAUCUUUGCAAGUGUUAACUUUGCAUUUUCACUGAUUAAAUAAACCAAUAGGGCGUUGUGUGGAUUAUUGGUUA
rnacentral:lncRNA from 1 species